AGCAGCCGCGGUAAUUCCAGCUCCAAUAGCGUAUAUUAAAGUUGUUGCAGUUAAAAAGCUCGUAGUUGAAUUUCGGGGUUAGUAGGUUGGUCAUGCCACUGGUACGUACUGGUCUCACUGAUUCCUCCUUCCUGAUGAACUGUAAUGCCAUUAAUUUGGUGUUGCAGGGAAACUGGACUGUUACUUUGAAAAAAUUUAGAGUGUUUAAAGCAAGCUAACGCUUGAAUACAUUAGCAUGGAAUAAUGAAAUAGGACGUUCGAUCCUAUUUUGUUGGUUUCUAGGAUUGACGUAAUGAUUAAUAGGGAUAGUUGGGGGCAUUAGUAUUCAAUUGUCAGAGGUGAAAUUCUUGGAUUAUUGAAGACUAACUACUGCGAAAGCAUUUGCCAAGGAUGUUUUCAUUAAUCAAGAACGAAAGUUAGGGGAUCGAAGACGAUCAGAUACCGUCGUAGUCUUAACCAUAAACUAUGCCGACUAGGGAUCGGAUGAUGUUAAUUUUUUAAUGACUCAUUCGGCGCCUUA
rnacentral:rRNA from 1 species